UACGGAGGGUGCAAGCGUUAAUCGGAAUUACUGGGCGUAAAGGGUGCGUAGGCGGUUGUUUAAGUCUGGUGUGAAAUCCCCGGGCUCAACCUGGGAAUGGCAAUGGAUACUGGGCAGCUAGAGUGUGUCAGAGGAUGGUGGAAUUCCCGGUGUAGCGGUGAAAUGCGUAGAUAUCGAGAGGAACACCGGUGGCGAAGGCGGCCUUCUGGACAGUGACUGACGCUGAGACGCGAAAGCGUGGGGAGCAAACAGG
rnacentral:rRNA from 1 species